UCAAUAUGUUGUUGUCUGUGA
rnacentral:piRNA from 1 species